CUAGAGACUGCUAUCAGGAAAGCAGGAGAUGCGGAAUAUACCUCUAAUGAUGAGGAGAAAGGAAGAGGCAAAAGAAAGAAAAAAUUUCGCCAGCCUUCCACUAGCCCAUCUACAGAUGAUAGAGAAGGCAGUAUUUCGCCUCCACCCAAAUUGGAUAUUGAGCAGGCUGAAAUCUUAUGGGAGCAGCCAUGUGAGGAAUUAUCGGAAGCACUGAAUCUAGAUGUUGACAUCAACUCAGUGGUAACACCUUUUGCAAAAGGAGAAGAUGUCAUCUCAGAAGGUAAUUUUUUUUUCAUAGAAUGAAGAAAGUUAUU